UCAAGGAAGAGGCAUUCACACCCCACCAUCAACACCCAAAGCUGAGAUUCUACAUAAACUAUUCCUUG
rnacentral:tRNA from 1 species